rnacentral:lncRNA from 1 species
CUACAGAGGCGAGAUGAGGUCCAAGAACCCGCAACAGCUUCUCCAUUGCCUUCCUUGACACAACAGCAGGCACUCACGCAUCAGAGAAAGAAGAAAGCCAGAGGAUGAAGAAAACCAGAGGAAGAAAAGGUGAGGAGAGAUCCAUACCGAGGCUGGCUCUUCUUGGAAGGGAUGCUGACCUGCGGCCCCAUGGGUGGGGAGCAGUGGGG